rnacentral:lncRNA from 1 species
UAAGUAUGCUGCACUGUAAUUUAUAUUAGUUUUUUUCUUAUUAGGAGUCUUUCUUUGAAAUUGACAAGAGACAUGGACCAGGAAUCCAGAUGUCCCCAUGUCAGCCGAGUGCCUGGCAGCCCAUCGGCAGAUUGGCCCUUCCAGAGCAUAGAAGAGAAUGGAGGCUUUGAUCCUCUGCCAUUCAGAUUGAUGUUACAGGACUGCACUGCCGUGAAGACGCUGUUGUUAAAGAUGAAGAGAGUUCUCCAAGAGAGUUCAGACAUGAGCCCUGCGAGCAGCACCACUUCGCUUCCUGUUAGUCCUCUUGCGGAAGAGCCAGUGCCUUUCAAGGAUAUAAUGAAAGAUGAAUGUUCUGUGCUCAAGCUACAACUGAAAGAGAGGGACGAACUCAUUUCCCACCUUCAGGAAGAGCUGGAAAAAGUGCAGCAUUUACAGAAGGCUUUUGCUUCAAGGGUAGAUAAAUCCACACAGACGGAACUUCUAGGCUAUGAUGUAAGUAGCUAUGUAAAAUGAAUUUUUAUCUUUUUUUAAUUGAUAUUCAGACCUCCACAGCUUAUUUACUUCUGCUAUUUCUGUGUCCAUGCAUUGAAUUAAUAGAUGUUAGUGGUACUCCUUUCAUCUUUUGCCUUGAAACAAUUCCAAAACACCCUCU